rnacentral:rRNA from 1 species
UACGGGGGGGGCAAGCGUUGUUCGGAAUUACUGGGCGUAAAGGGCGCGUAGGCGGCCUACUAAGUCGGACGUGAAAUCCCUCGGCUCAACCGAGGAACUGCGUCCGAUACUGGCGAGGCUUGAAUUCGGGAGAGGGAUGUGGAAUUCCAGGUGUAGCGGUGAAAUGCGUAGAUAUCUGGAGGAACACCGGUGGCGAAGGCGGCAUCCUGGACCGGUAUUGACGCUGAGGCGCGAAAGCCAGGGGAGCAAACGGG